rnacentral:lncRNA from 1 species
GUGCCUGCUCUGCUGUCUGGCAGUCUCCCUUUCCAGGAAGACUGGACUGUACCCUGGUGCUAAAAUGUAAUCCCCUGAGUUUUCCUUGAGUACGGAUUGGCUUUUCUUCUGGCAAGUGCUGUCAUCAGGCAUUAAUCUGACGGAAGUUGUGUGGAACGCUAGCACUCAGGUGGGUGGAGACUCUAUGGGAGUGACUUUUAACAAAACAGAAAUAUGGAGCCUGAGCAUGGGAUUUCCGGGUGACCAGAGAUGAGGAACCACAGCCAGGUGCCGACUGGACCGCCUGGCAGGCCUGAU